rnacentral:rRNA from 1 species
UACGUAGGGGGCUAGCGUUGUCCGGAAUCAUUGGGCGUAAAGCGCUCGUAGGCGGCCAGAUAAGUCUGGUGUGAAAGUCACAGGCUCAACCUGUGAAUGCCGCUGGAAACUGUCUGGCUAGAGUCCGGAAGGGGCGAGUGGAAUUCCUGGUGUAGCGGUGAAAUGCGCAGAUAUCAGGAAGAACACCGGUGGCGAAGGCGGCUCUCUGGGACGGUACUGACGCUGAGACGCGAAAGCGUGGGGAGCGAACAGG